UACGUAGGGUGCGAGCGUUAAUCGGAAUUACUGGGCGUAAAGCGUGCGCAGGCGGUUCGUUGUGUCGGUGGUGAAAGCCCCGGGCUUAACCUGGGAAUGGCCAUGGAAACUGGCGAACUGGAGUGUGGCAGAGGGGGGGUGGAAUUCCGCGUGUAGCAGUGAAAUGCGUAGAGAUGCGGAGGAACACCGAUGGCGAAGGCAGCCCCCUGGGCUAGCACUGACGCUGAGGCGCGAAAGCUAGGGGAGCAAACAGG
rnacentral:rRNA from 1 species